rnacentral:rRNA from 1 species
UACGAAGGGUGCAAGCGUUAAUCGGAAUUACUGGGCGUAAAGCGUGCGCAGGCGGUUAUGUAAGACAGGUGUGAAAUCCCAGGGCUUAACCUUGGAACUGCAUUUGUGACUGCAUAGCUAGAGUACGGUAGAGGGGGAUGGAAUUCCGCGUGUAGCAGUGAAAUGCGUAGAUAUGCGGAGGAACACCGAUGGCGAAGGCAAUCCCCUGGACCUGUACUGACGCUCAUGCACGAAAGCGUGGGGAGCAAACAGG